rfam:Triticum aestivum genome assembly, contig: Triticum_aestivum_CS42_TGACv1_scaffold_514888_6BS
CAAAUACUCCCUCCGUUCAAAAAUACUUGUCAUCAAAAUUAAUAAAAAGAAAUGUAUUUAGAACUAAAAUAUGUCUAGAUACAUUCCUUUUGAUUCAUUUUGAUGACAAGAACGAAGGAAGUAAUUU